UACGAAGGGAGCUAGCGUUGUUCGGAAUCACUGGGCGUAAAGCGCGCGCAGGCGGCUUUUCAAGUUAGAAGUGAAAGCCUGGGGCUCAACCCCAGAACUGCUUUUAAGACUGAGAGGCUAGAGUGUGGGAGAGGAUAGCGGAAUUCCGUGUGUAGAGGUGAAAUUCGUAGAUAUACGGAGGAACACCAAUGGCGAAGGCAGCUAUCUGGAACACAACUGACGCUGAGGCGCGAAAGUGUGGGGAUCAAACAGG
rnacentral:rRNA from 1 species